ensembl:miRNA
GGGAGGAGGGCCUCAGUGCUGGAAAGGGGUAUGGAUUCUGUUGUUUUGGCAACAUUCUUCUUAUCGGCACUGGGUCACUCAGUUCA